rnacentral:rRNA from 1 species
AUGAUAGGGGUUUUUUGGAAUUGUAGGGGGGCAGGAAAAGGUGGUAUGGCUUCCUGCCUCACGGAUAUCAUUAAUACCAAUAAAGUGGACUUCAUUGACCAUGAAAAGAGAUUAUAAGCCCUCCUUUUUAGGAGAUUUGACCCCCAUUCAGAUUUUAGAUGGGAAUGGAUCCCAUCGAUUGGGAAGUCUGGUGGGAUAUUAUGUGGAUUGAGACUAGAAACACUUGAGGUUAUAGAUGUUGUGCGUGGUAAAUAUAUAUUGCAGAUUAAUCUCUUUGACAAGGUUAAGAGAUGUGAAUGGGCUCUGUUGGUGGUGUAUGGUGCAGCCCACGAUGAAAAUAAACCUGAAUUUUUGGCUGAAUUGUCUUCCGUCUGUCAUAGGAUUAAAACUCCUUAUUUGGUGGGUGGUGAUUUUAACAUCAUUAGACACUGCGGGAAAAAAAUAAAAAGACCCCUUUAUCACAUUUCUCGGAUGUCUUUAACGCUGUCAUCCAUCUACUAA